GUAGAAAAGCGCUUGAUAUCCGCAAUUUUGUGAGGAAAGUCCGUCCACCAUAAAAAGGCCACUUCCGUAAGGGAGGCCUAUAAGCGGCGGCAACCGCUCAGAAACGAAACCGUCUUGGUUAAGGGUGAUACGAGCGAAUGCUUCUGAGAAGAAGCAGAGCUAACCCGUUGACGUUUCCAAGACAAGGAUGAAACGGCGAGUCCUGGUCGGUGCAACUUAAGAAAGGCUUAGUAGAAUAUCAAACAGACCGUCCCCAUAGGGGUCUGACAAAAGACGGCUUAUGCUUUUCUAC
rnacentral:RNase_P_RNA from 1 species